CAUAGCUCAGUUGGUAGAGCAAUCGGCUGUUAACCGAUCGGUCGUAGGUUCGAGUCCUACUG
rnacentral:tRNA from 1 species